rnacentral:lncRNA from 1 species
UGCUAUUAGAGACUCUGAUGUUUUGCUUUCCUUAGGGCUUUGAGAGCCAUAGAGAGUAGGGGUUUGAUAGCUUCUGGGAUUAGAAUGUCCUCUUUGGGUCAAUAGACUCAAGUGUGAUCCAUCAGCGGCAGAGUCAGUCUGCCAGUUGAGUUCAGUGCUAGUUGUGAGUAGGUGCCUUCCAGCUGACCUAGUGGUUCUAGGGUGAUUGUUUGAUGUCAUUCUAGGGGUGGAUGGGCUAGCUACUCAUAGUACUGCCUUAGAUA